rnacentral:lncRNA from 1 species
UGAUUUAUAGGACUUGGGUUCAUGAACUUGGGUAUGGUUCGUGGUGUUUCGUUCACGAACUUGGUUCAUGGUUUAUGAAAUUUGGUUCGUGAACUUGGGUAUGGUUCAUGGUGUUUAGUUCAUGAACUUGGUUCAUGGUUUAUGCGAUUUGGUUCAUGAACUUGAGUAUGAAUCUUAGUUGGAAGUCAGGUUUGGGUUCUAUUUGUGGUCCGGAUUGGAUUUGAAUUCGGGAUUUUAUUUGUGGAUUGGAUUGGUUUUGGGUUUAUCUGUGGACUGUAUAUGCUUUUGGGUUUUAUUUGUAGACUUGGUUUUGGUUUGGAAAUUUUGAUUUGGGUUUUGGGUUUGGGUUUUUUAUUUUGGUUUGGAUUUUAUUUGUGGACUUGACAUGGGUUACGGGUUUGGGUUUUGGUUUUGGGUUUGUAUUUGGGUUUGGAUUUGGGUUUUGGUUUUGGUUUUUUAUUUGGAAUUUGGUUUUUUUUUUGUGGACUUGGUUUGGGUUUGGAUUUGUGUUUUAUUUGUGAACUUGAUUUUCUUCUCAAUUCUAUUUCGGGUCCGAGGAAAUUCUCUUUUGAUUUUGCAAUUCGAUUUGGGGUUCGAAAAAAUUCCUUUUUGAUUUUGCAAUUUGAUUUGGGGUCUGAAAAAAUCCCCUUUUGAUUCUAAUUUGAUUUGGGUCCGAAGAAAUCUCCUUUUGAUUUCGCAAUUUGAUUUGGGGUCCGAAAAAAUUUUCGUUUGAUUUCGAUUUGGGGUUCGAAGAAAUCCCCGUUUGAUUUCGCAAUUUGAUUUGGGGUCCGAAGAAAUCCUCGUUUGACUUCGAUUUGGGGUCCGAAGAAAUUUCCCUUUUGAUCUUGAUUUGGGGUUCAAAGAA